GAUGGACGUUUGGUCUGACCCAGUGUGGCCGUUCUUAUGUUCUGGUUUCUAAAGUGGCCUAUGCAAUGAUUGGAACAUCCCAAAUGACUGUUUCCCCCGUUGUCUGUGUAAGAGCAUCCCUUCUCCUAGAUUUUUAUCCUGGGAAACCACCCCAGAGCCCCUCCUUCACCAGGUUCACAUUGUCUUCUUGUAAUGGUCCUCUCACUGCCCCAGCAUGGGACUGGACCAUGAGAACAAUCUGUGAAGGGCGGGGGAGGGGAUUUGCCAUUACUGGACUUAUUUAAUCUUGAGAGUGGAGGUUCUGCUUUAGUUCAGCCAGGAGUUCAGGGAAGUCCUGGGGCCGGUGCAUACCGGGGGUCAGAUUAGAUGAUCACCGUGGUCCUGUAGGGCUGUGAAAUUAUAAUCCAAGACCAGGCCACCCCUUCUCUGCUGCUGUUGGCAAAAGCUGUUUCUAAUUGUGUGACGAGCCUCGCUGGGGGAAGCGUUUCUGCCUGUACAUUGAGAGAAGUGUGUAAGCUCCCACAAGGAAAUCUACACAGACCUUGGAGGGCGCUUCCUAGAAGGUUGCUUGGAACUCUCUGGCCCAGCUUGUCGCACAGUCCAGCGGUUGGUGGAAGAGACCCCAUAGUGGGCAAGUCUUGAGGCUUAGUGACCCACUGGUUUUUCACAUCCCUCUGGCAGUACAAUGCCCUACCAGUGCAAUGCCCUACCACAGAAACAAACUGACCAGGAGCAAAGGCCUCAGCAGGUUCCUGAUGUACAGGCCAAUGUGUGCAUGAAAACCCUCAAGCCCAGGCGCCCACUGGCCAGUCUGCAAGGCAGGGAGAGAGCCCCGAACUGCUCACCAAGCCAGAGGAAAGACCAGAAAUGUGCUCUGAUGGGAAGGUCCUGCCCCGGUCUGUGUGGUGGGCAUAUUCCUAAGGCCUGCACUGCUGUCUCGGUGCGACAGGAUAUGGGAGGGCAGGAAAACUGUGAUGCAGUGAGCCUUUUCCCCUGCAUCCUGCUCCAGGCAGGGCGGGGAGUGUUUGCUUUGGUUGGCCUGGACGUCACUGGGCCUUGGGGCGGCAGCAGCAGGUGGUGGGCUGCAACAGCAGCUCCAUGCAACCAAUGGCUACGGCCAGAACCUUGUGGCCUGCGAUCCUUCUGCAUGUGAUCCCAGGGGGGCAAGUGUGGGAAUUGUGCCAACCUGAUCAGAGCAGAACGGCCGAUCGUCCUGUGUCACAUGCACGUAUCUUAACCCCGCGUCGGCACAGCUACCAGCCAGAGCACCCGAUGCAGAAGGACACUGAGUUUGAGCUAUCCCACGGAGUCUGCUACUGGACAGACUGGAUGGGGUUGAAGAUCAUGAGUAGCCCAGUGCAGACUAUCCAGAAGGUUUGUGUGUGGAGACAGCUGGAUUCCUGGUGUGCAGAACCGAGGGCAGUGCGGUUCGUGCUCGCUAGAACCCAUUCGGCUGGAAUACGAGUAUCCAGCCCCACUCUGCUACUGGGGGAAAUGAAACACAGUACUGCCCGAUGAGACGCUGAAGGGUGCUUUGUAUCUAACGUCGGCUGGCAGGAGAACUGAGCCAGCACAUGGCUGAUGGGAUGGAACAGGAAAUGAUCCUCCACUUGACGAUAGGGCCUGUGCAGGACAUCCUCAGUGUUUGUUUGAAACUGAGCGGUGGCCAACUCCUGUUGAGUCGCCUGGGGCCUGUGGAUUCUGGUCACUCCUCUGCUGCCUGCUGAGAUGGUUUGCUGCUGCUUCGGCCAUAAGGAGAUUUAAACUUCUCCCCCAAAGACGUUUCCAAAGCACCAUGUAUGGCUGACUCUCUGGCAGGGUGUUGUCGGGCUCAGCCCCGGCUGUGCUCCUGACAGAAUAGCUGCCUGGUACAUCUUGAUGGACAGAAGUGACCCCCCCACACAAAAUUGCAUGGAGCCAUCCCACCCCCCAGCCCUGCUGCUUCCCAGGGAGGGGCUGUGAGUGCUGCAGUUUCCCAGCUGCUCCUGCAAUGAAAAGAGGAGGUCUCAGGCGUGGGCCCAGAUUCUCUGCUACCAGAGCCUGCUGGGGAAGCUGUAGGACAACCAUCUUGGAAUGCAAUGCCAGUGCAUGCAGUAGGGGGUGCAGCUGCCACGUAACCGCUGAAAAGCACUGCUGCGGGAACUAAAACUGCAUCCACGGAACAAGCCAGCUCUCCAGCAGAGGGUGCUCAAAGCCACAGGCCGUCAGCAUGCACCUGUUCUUCGAGCGCUUGCUCGUAUCGAUUCCAAUCCAGUGCGCACCGUGUGCACAGUCACCAGAAGGUUUUACCCUAGCACUACCCCUCGGGUCAGCUGUGGCGCCCCCUGGAGUCGCGCUUUCAUGGCACCGCAUACAGGGCCCUGCCGACCUGCUGCCUCUCCAGUUCCUUCCUCCUGCCAGUGACGGUCCUUGGAACGUUCCCUCUCUCAUUUGUCGAGUGAUUUCCCCCCCACCCCCCCCAGUAGCUUUCGCUUAAAAUGUCUUGUAUAUAGUUUAGACGUUUGUUUAUAGUUGUAGUUUAGACAGAUAAGUUUUAGUGGUUAUUGGGGGUUCUCCCCAUUUUUUUUCCUUUCCCUUCCCUGGGGCCUGGCCAUGCCUCGGUCCCAGGAGUUCAAACCGUGUGGGGUCUGCCCAAAAACCGAUGCCCAAAGGCUACCCACACACAGCCUGUCUUAAGUGCCCGGGUGAGUCCCACCAAACAGACGGGCAAGAACUGCAGGAGUUUUUGUCCCCGCACUAAGAAAGGGGCCAUAGAUUAAAGCUCCUGUUGAUGGAGGCAGCUCUGCAACCGCAAUCAGAGUCCAGCCCUGGGGAACUGGCACCAGGCUCCUCUGUGUCGGCUGCAGCUCAGCGGCUUCAAUUAGGGAGGCACAGAGACACUGACGGGGGCGCUCCCUCCCUCGAGCACCGGAGUGUGACAGUAAGGGAGUGUGACCUGUGCCAGGUCACUCCUCUCCAGCGGUGCAACAAGCAGCACCGUCUACUACUGGCCCACAAGCAGGACCGUCAAGUCCGGUGCCAGUGGAAGAGGGCCAGGAGGAGGACCUGGACCUUUCUUCUACUCCAGAGACUUUCGAGCCGCCUCUUAUAGGCCUAACAGACCCGCAUUCGCCAGUCCCACUUCUUAAGGUUUGUAGUUGGGGGUACUCACUACAAUUUGCAGUCCUCCCAUUAGGCCUAUCAUCAGCACCUCGGGUGUUCACCAAAUGUAUGUCAGUCGUGGCCGCCUUCCUGCGGAAAAGAGAUGUCCAGGUAUUCCCGUACCUCGACGACGGGCUAGUGAACGGCUGGUCCAGGACACAGUGGAUCUACAGGUCACCCA